rnacentral:rRNA from 1 species
CGAAAGCCUGACGGAGCAAUACCGCGUGAGGGAGGAAUGCCUUUGGGUUGUAAACCUCUUUUCUCAGGGAAGAAGAUCUGACGGUACCUGAGGAAUAAGUAUCGGCUAACUCCGUGCCAGCAGCCGCGGUAAUACGGAGGAUGCAAGCGUUAUCCGGAAUCAUUGGGCGUAAAGCGUCCGCAGGUGGUUUCCAAAGUCUGCUGUUAAAGACUGGAGCUCAACUCCGGAACGGCGGUGGAAACUUGGAAACUAGAGCUCGGUAGGGGUAGCAGGAAUUCCCAGUGUAGCGGUGAAAUGCGUAGAUAUUGGGAAGAACAUCGGUGGCGAAGGCGUGCUACUGGACCGCAACUGACACUCAGGGACGAAAGCUAGGGUAGCGAAAGGGAUUAGAUACCCCUGUAGUCCUAGCCGUAAACGAUG